rnacentral:rRNA from 1 species
GGCAGCCGCGGUAAUUCCAGCUCCAAUAGCGUAUAUUAAAGUUGUUGCAGUUAAAAAGCUCGUAGUUGAAUUUCGGGGUUAGCAAGUUGGUCGUGCCUUCGGUAUGCACUGGCUUUGCUGAUUCCUCCUUCUUGAAGAACUGUGAUGCUAUUAAUUUGGUGUUGCAGGGAAACAGGACUGUUACUUUGAAGAAAUUAGAGUGUUUAAAGCAGGCUAACGCUUGAAUACAUUAGCAUGGAAUAAUGAAAUGGGACGUUUGAUCCUAUUUUGUUGGUUUCUAGGAUUGACGUAAUGAUUAAUAGGGAUAGUUGGGGGCAUUAGUAUUCAAUUGUCAGAGGUGAAAUUCUUGGAUUUAUUGAAGACUAACUACUGCGAAAGCAUUUGCCAAGGAUGUUUUCAUUAAUCAAGAACGAAAGUUAGGGGAUCGAAGACGAUCAGAUACC